UGCUUGAAUUAACUAUGCACAUAAGUAUUUUCUUUUCUUUUUUUUUUAUUUCUGAUCUAGAUAUAAACUGUGUUUGUGAUCUGUAAGAGGUUUCAGUGAAAGAUAAGGGUAACAAUGAAUGGAGGGACCGUGGAUGAAUGAUAGAAAUGUGUGUUUUGUCUUGUAAACAGAAGACAUGUUUAAUAAGCAAGAGUAGCCUCCCCAUUACGAUUGUUGACCUUAAAUUGUAUACAACUUGCAUGAUUUGUUCAAGACUAUAAAAAAAAAAUUUUUUUUUCACUUUACCUAAUUGUAUACAUUUUUUUAAUCAAAGAAGGGAAGUUAAGUGUGAAAAAAAACUUGUACUUAUUAAGAUAUAAAUGUUGCAUUCCAGAAACAUCCCACAUAGAUUUUUUCCUUCAUUUAUUCCCUGUGUGUAUUGUUCUUGAGCAAGAAAACUGUGAUACAAUCUGGUCAUCUUAUGUUUUUUUUUGUGUACAUGAUAUUGUCUAAUUGCAUUGUUAAGAAACAUGAUGGCUUUGUGUUGAUAAUAAUGGAAUGGCCUGAUAAAUUGUCAAUAUCUUUAAAAUUAAUUACCAAUUAUUUCUUAAUUCCUAUCAUAUAGUGAAAGAGGUUAAGGAAACCUUGAAACUGUGAAAAAUUGUAAUGCUAUUUUUAGAAAUAAAUUAACAUAUCACUGU
rnacentral:sRNA from 1 species